AAUAAUCUUUGUAAACGAUCAAGAAUCAAAACAACAAUUGAAGACUAAGCAUUAGCACACAGCAUCUCUUUAUAAUGUUGUUUCAUUCCAGGAGGAACUCAAGACUGCAUUGGAGCGCUUACAGGAGAAACUGAAGGUCUUUGGAGAAGUUAAACUGGCCUGUGAUCAAACAGCCAACCACAUCAAGAGCCAGGCCCAGCACACAGAGAGGCUGAUUAAGAUGGGGUAUAAGAAGCUUCAUCAGUUUCUAUAUGCGGAAGAGAGAGCCAGGAUAGAUGCACUGAAGGAGGAAGAGGAGCAGAAGUCAGAUGAUGAAGAAGAAGAUUGAGGAGUUGAGCAGAGAGAUAUCAUCACUUCCAGACACAAUCAGAACCAUAGAGGAAGAGCUGGGAGCUGAGGACAUCUCAUUCCUGCAGAACUACAAGGAUACAGUGAAAAGCUCCAGUGACUGUUCAUCUCCAGCUUUAACUCAGGAACACACAGCUGGGACAUUGAUGUUGGGGAGAAUACAUUCUGGGACCUGGGUGUGAUCACAGAGAUUGUCCAGAGGAAGGGAGAAAGUGGUUUAUGGAUGGAUCCUGGGAUGUGUGGUUUUGUGAUGGGUAUUAUAAAACACAUGUUCCAAAUAAGCAAUCCACUUUACUCACAGAGAGACGGAACCCCCAGAGGAUCAGAGUGCAGCUAGACUGGGAAGGAGGAAAGCUGUCAUUCUCUGACCCUGUCAAUAACACACAUCUACACACAUUCACACACACUUUCACUGAGAUAGUCUUUCUAUUAUUCUGGAAUCCCCAUACUCUCCACCUCCCUCUGGGGGUGUUACCAGGUAAGGUGACUGUAUCAGUGGAUACUGUCUCUGUCUGAAUCAGGGACUAACAUGAUGUAAAUGAGUCAGCAACACUCACUGAUGUCCUUCAUUAAGAUUGUUAGAAAGAGAUGAUAGAGUAGCAGGCCUUCUCCUGCUGUAACACCUGUCACACAAUCAUCAUUUAAUACUGUAUUAUAAGAAUCCCUAUCAAUACUUUCUGUAACA